rnacentral:rRNA from 1 species
CAGUAGCCACGGUAAUACGGAGGGUGCAAGCGUUAAUCGGAAUUACUGGGCGUAAAGCGCACGCAGGCGGUUUGCUAAGUCAGAUGUGAAAUCCCCGAGCUUAACUUGGGAACUGCAUUUGAAACUGGCAAGCUAGAGUCUCGUAGAGGGGGGUAGAAUUCCAGGCGUAGCGGUGAAAUGCGUAGAGAUCUGGAGGAAUACCGGUGGCGAAGGCGGCCCCCUGGACAAAGACUGACGCUCAGGUGCGAAAGCGUGGGGAGCAAACAGGAUUAGAUACCCCUGUAGUCCCUGUCUCUUAUAA